CGCACAUUGCGCCCUUUGGUAUUCCUUAGGGCAUGCCUGUUCGAGCGUCAUAUAACCCCUCAAGCAUAGCUUGGUGUUGGGCGCUUGUCCCACCUCUGGUAGGGACUCGCCUUGAAUCAAUUGGCGGCCUUUGUGUCGGGCUAUCGAGCGCAGCAGAUUUGCGUCUUGGGCCCCUCGCGCUGGUGUCCAGGAAGUGACCAUACAUUUUGACCUCGGAUCAGGUAGGGAUACCCGCUGAACUUAA
rnacentral:misc_RNA from 1 species